GCUACGGGCGGCAGCAGUGAGGAAUAUUGGUCAAUGGACGCAAGUCUGAACCAGCCAAGUAGCGUGCAGGAUGACGGCCCUCCGGGUUGUAAACUGCUUUUAGUUGGGAGUAAAAGGGGGCUCGUGAGCCCCGUAUGGUAUGUACCAUCAGAAAAAGGACCGGAUAAUUCCGGGCCAGCAGCCGCGGUAAUACGGAGGAUACGAGGGUUAUCCGGAUUUAUUGGGUUUAAGGGGAUGUUAGGUGGAUGGUUAAGUCAGUAGGGAAAGUUUGCGGCUGAACCGUAGAAUUGCAGUUGAAACUGGCAGUCUUGAGUACAGGAGAGGUGUGCGGAAUUCGUGGUGUAGCGGUGAAAUGCUUAGAUAUCACGAAGAACUCCGAUUGCGAAGGCAGUUCACUGGACUGCAACUGACACUGAGGCUCGAAAGUGUGGGUAUCAAACAGGAUUAGAUACCCUUGUAGUC
rnacentral:rRNA from 1 species